rnacentral:rRNA from 1 species
CCCUUAGAUGUUCUGGGCAGCACGCGCGCUACAAUGGUCUUCGCAAACGGAUGCAUUCUCGAAGGAGGAUGCCAAUCUUGGAAUCUAUGCCUUGGUCGGGACAGUUGCUUGCAAUUUUUCGACUCGAACCAGGAAUUCCUUGUAAUCGUGAUUCAUCACAUCACGAUGAAUACGUCCCUGCCCUUUGUACACACCGCCCGUCGCUCCUACCGAUCGAAGAGUUAGGUGAAUUGUUUUGAUCGAUAAGAUUUGACUAUGGUCAACUCUCGUUGUGAAAUUCUGUGAAGCUGACUGUUUAGAGGAAGGAAAAGUCGUAACA